AANNNCCUGCGGCUGGAUUACCUCCUUAUUUAUAGACUUGAAGUUGCUUAAGUGUUCACACAAAUUGCUUGAUGAUUUUAUUGUUUAGUGAGAANUGAUAUUUGUUCUUUAACAAUGUGGUAAAAAGUAUAAGUAAAGAUUCCUUGAUUAAUUUAGGGUUAUUUUUAGUUUAGGUUGAGAWUGUAUUUUUAUGUCUUGAUUGAUUAUUAGAAAUAAUUUUUAGUUUAUUUAAUUAACGAGUCUUGGUAAUUUUUGAAAACUCGGUGUUGAAGAUAUAGUUUUUGAUUGGUAUUAGUUANAUAGAUUUUAGAUUUAUUGAUAUAAGACUUUUUGGGGUUAUAUKAUCAAGU
rnacentral:misc_RNA from 1 species